GGGGAUAUAGCUCAGUGGCAUAAGCACCUGCCUGGCAAGUGUAAGGUUCUGAGUUUGAAUCCCAGUACCCCCC
rnacentral:tRNA from 1 species